rnacentral:rRNA from 1 species
UAUGUGAUCGUCUCUCGCAUAUCAAUAAGCGGAGGAAAAGAAACUAACAAGGAUUCCCCUAGUAACGGCGAGUGAAGCGGGUAGAGCUCAAAUUUGAAAUCUUAAAGGGCUUCCCUUUACGAAUUGUAGUUUAAAGAAGUGUUUUCUGUUGAGGUUUUGGUAAAAGUUCUUUGGAAUAGGACAUCAUAGAGGGUGAGAAUCCCGUAUUUGACCUUUACUUUCAACUUUGUGAUACACUUUCAAAGAGUCGGAUUGUUUGGGAAUGCAGUCCAAAAUGGGUGGUAAAUUUCAUCUAAAGCUAAAUAUUGGCGAGAGACCGAUAGCGAACAAGUACCGUGAGGGAAAGAUGAAAAGAACUUUGAAAAGAGAGUUAAACAGUACGUGAAAUUGUCUAAAGGGAAGCGUUUGACACCAGUGUUGUUUUUCUGGAAAUCAAUUAAAGAACUGUUUAUGCUAAGUUGUUUAGACUUUAUCAGCUAUCUGUUUAGUUUUGAGCUUUUCUUUAAUGCACUUUUCAGUUAACAAGUCAACAUCAAUUUCUUUUGCUGUAAAAAAGCUUGAGGAAGGUGGCUUGAGAUUCGUCUUAAGUGUUUAUAGCCUCUUGCCUAUGCAGUCGGAGAGAUUGAGGUCUGCAGCGUAGAUCCUUCGGGGCUAAAUGCAUUUGUGCUAAGUUAUAGCAUUUUAUAGACAACUUGUUGACUAUGAUUUGUCUUGUAGCUUACUCGCUAUGUUAUUUUACCUACGCUUAGGAUGUUGAUCUGUAGUGCGUGCGCG